UUGGUACUCAUUGUAAUAAGGGUGACUCUAGAAUCAAAGACCCGAUCACAAAUUAAAAAGAAAUAAAGCUUCAAUUAAUGAAAUAAAACAAUUAAAAAUGAGAACCUAAUUUUUGCAUAUUAACAUUUAUUGAUAAUCUAAAAACAGAAACAACAUAAAAUACAAGCAUCGAUCACAAAUUAAGAACAUAAGGGGAGGACAGAAAACCGCUCAAGUUCCGGAAGGUCCGGGGGUCGGGGGCUUCUUCUUGGACACCGGGAAGUGGGUUGAAGAUUCUUGUUCAUGGGUUUUAGGUGGAGGGUUUUUGGAGCUUUCAGCGGUGGCAGUUGCAGCUGCAGAAAGAUUAGUAGAAAUGGUGUCAUGCAGUUCUCCGGCUAUCAGCUCCGGCUGGAGGAUCUGUGAUGCCUGCCGCCGGUGACGAGGAUCACGGAACAUUAAUUAUUGGGUUGUUUCCUGAGAGAGAGAGAGAGAGAGAGAGAGAGAGAGAGAGGCAGUGGGGAGGCUUUUGUUGUGGAGGUGAUAAGAUGAGACUGGUGAGGGGAUUAAGAAUGAGAACCUAAUUUCUGUACAUUAAUAUUUAUUGAUAGUCUAAAAACAGAAACAACAUAAAAUACAAGCAUCGAUCACAAAUUAAGAACAGCAAAGAAAAGAAAAGGAAGAAAGGCAAAAUGCAUUGAAACAACAGCAGGGGGGGGGGGCAGAAAACCGUUCAAGUUCCGGAAGGUCGGGGGAUCGGGGGCUUCUUCUUGGGCGCCGGGGAGUGGGUUGAAGAUUCUUGUUCAUGCGUUUUAGUUGGAGGGUUUUUGGAGCUUUCAGCAGUGGUAGAUGCAGCUGCAGAAACACUAGUAGAUAUGGUGUCAUGCCCCAAGUCAUGCAGUUCUCCGGCUAUCAGCUCCGGCGGUAGGACCUGUGAGGCCUGCCGCCGGUGACGAGAAUCACGGGACAUUAAUAAUUGGGUUAUUUUCCUGAGAAAGAGAAUUGGGUUAUUUUCCUGAGAAAGAGAGAGAAGAGAGAGAGGGAGCUGGGGAGGCUUUUGUUGUGGAAGUGAUGAGAUGAUAAUGG
rnacentral:lncRNA from 1 species